GCCGGGCGUUGUGGUGGGCGCCUGUGGUCCCAGCUACUUGGGAGGCUGAGGCAGGAGACUCACUUGAGCCCAGGAGUUGGGAGGUUGCUGUGAGCAUGAUGCCAUGGCACUCUACCCAGAGGGAUAGCUUGAGGCUCCGUCUCAAAAAAAAAAAAAAAAGAUAUUAUUAUUAUUAAUAUUUUUGAGACAAAGCCUCAAGCUGUCACUCUGGGUAGAGUGCUGUGACAUCACAGCUCACAGCAACCUCCAACUCCUGGGCUCAAGCAAGUCUCCUGCCUUU
rfam:Otolemur garnettii contig125156, whole genome shotgun sequence.